rnacentral:rRNA from 1 species
GGGUCAGUAGGUUGGUCGUGCCACCGGUACGUACUGGUCUCACUGAUUCCUCCUUCCUGAAGAACCGUAAUGCCAUUAAUUUGGUGUUGCGGGGGAACAGGACUGUUACUUUGAAAAAAUUAGAGUGUUUAAAGCAAGCUAACGCUUGAAUACAUUAGCAUGGAAUAAUGAAAUAGGACGAUCGAUCCUAUUUUGUUGGUUUCUGGGAUUGACGUA